UACGUAGGGGGCAAGCGUUGUCCGGAUUUAUUGGGCGUAAAGAGCGUGUAGGCGGCUUUACAGAUCCGUUGUGAAAACUCGAGGCUCAACCUCGAGACGCCGGUGGAAACCGUAAAGCUAGAGUCCGGAAGAGGAGAGUGGAAUUCCUGGUGUAGCGGUGAAAUGCGCAGAUAUCAGGAAGAACACCCGUGGCGAAGGCGGCUCUCUGGGACGGUACUGACGCUGAGACGCGAAAGCGUGGGGAGCGAACAGG
rnacentral:rRNA from 1 species